GUGAAUUCUUCUCUGGAAUGAUCUUCCUAGGGGGUUCGUCAUUAUUACAGUCUUCUCGCUCUGAAGAAUUCUGGCUUACAGGAAGUUUCACUUGUUCAAGCUGGAUUUUUGGUUGUCCCACAAUGGCAGCAAAUAGGAUUUUUCCUAGUUUGCA